rnacentral:misc_RNA from 1 species
GAGGAGGGAGCCGAAGGAGAAGGGCGCGAUGGCCUCCGGCUGCGCGCCGGCCUCGAACCACGGCACGCCGCUCCACGCCUGCCCGACGAAGAUCCCCAGCACCGCCGCCAUCGCCCACCGCCCGUGGAUCAGCUCCGCCUCCCUGUACCACUUGAGGAACGCCGGGUCCUUGCCCAGCCCCAGCGGGUCGAAGCCGAAGUCACCGGGGAGCGAGCCAUCGAGCCACGGCGGGUUGAUGAACUCGGCGUCGCUCUUGAAGGCCGGGAUCCACGACUUCUUGGCCGACACGACGAGCGCGCGGCGCGGCGCGGGCUUGGCGCCCGCGACGCCGACGGCAUUGGCGAGCGCGCGCUUCGCCCCGAGGAAGGGCGUCUUGAGCACGGCCGCGGACGCGGUGGCGGAGGUGGAGGCGAGCGCCAUGGUCGUCGUCGUCGUAGGGGGGCUCUCUCUUCCGGUGGCG